GUGUUGGUACAAUUGGUUAUAAAUAUUCACGUAUUUCCUUACUUGAACUCACAAGUUGCCGAGGCGGAAGGUACAAACAUCGCAUUCUGUUCAUAAUGAAGUUUUCCGUUCAAUUUCUUUGCCUUUUGGCAGUCGUUGCAGUCUUGGGAUGCCUAGCCGAUGUUGAGGCUAUAUGCGAGAGAGAGGCAGAUCCAGUGACUAACGAACCGGCCAAAGUCUGCGCAGCAAGGAAUUUUGAGAGACCUCACCGUUGUGAAUUGGUGAAGCUUGCAGAUAAGAAUUGUUACUAUGGGGAUCGUACGGAUUUGUCCAAACCAUACCCUUUUUGCUGUCCCUCGUUUGGUAACAUCUGCGAGGGCGAUCAUGGCUAUGAUUCAGGCAAGGUUAGACAUUUCGACCAGAGGAUCAUGGAUUGGUGUAAUACUAAUAGUAAAUAGAGCUUUAGUAGAGGUCUUGUCCAGUUCAGAAACUUUGAUGAAUUUCGUUUAAACACUUGGACAUUUUGCGCAGUAAGUUGUAAAAGUAUAUAAUUUGACUAAUAAUGCACCGAAAAAUUAAUCUCGUAGUCAUUAUAAAAUGACACCGAUACACGACCAGUGAUAUACUUACGUGUAUGGCAGAAUCUCGAAACAAUCUUACUAAAAAACAUUUAUGAUCAUCUUAUAUACUUAAACUUGAACUUGUUUUGUCUUUUGAAAAAUUUAGAAUAAAUUCUCAAUAAGCAGAGUUUCUAGGUAUCUAUCGAACGAACAUUUUGUCAUUACAAAUUUGAAAUAAACUGGAUGUAAGUGAGUAGAAAA